AUGGAUCUACACUACAGUAACGUUAGAAAGAUAGAGGGCUGUCGUAAUUUUAAAAACUAGCUAACAAACGGGGCUUGCAAGAUGCCACUAAAAUAUAAUUAGUGAACCAAAUCUCUCUUCUUACCAUACCUUUACUGUGCGGUGUGAAACACCGUGUUAAAAGUUGCAACAGUGUUGCCUGUCUUGUCUGCAAUGAAUGAACUCAAGGAAAGGUUGUAAACAAACGGUUGCUAGGUCAACGCAAAACACAUUGCAAUCUUGGCGGGGCCAUCGACCGCGGGAAAUGUAAAAGGUCAGCGACGUGUACAUUUGGAUUAGAUUUGCAUUCUAACAACAUCUGUACGAGGCAAUUUGCUCGAUAUCUUAGCAACGAUGUCAUCCAGCAACUAAAACAACUUCGCCGACAAGAUAGGCAGAAAGGCUGUGUUGCUCCAGAAAGGAUAUGGAGAUCAGUAAACUCAGAAAGGAGAAUGCAUAUCUCAGGAAGUCAUUGGAUGAGCUGUCUCGUCAGAAAGAAGAACCAUCAGAAUCUGAAAAUAGCAAGCGUGUACUAGAGAAAAUCCUGUCACUGGAGCCUCUACGGGAGAAGAACGCUCAGCAGCUACUGGCCAGGGACCAGGAAAUCUGCUCUCUUUGCCAGCAGGCCCAUGUGGCAGGGGGCAGGACAGUGGCCGGUCUGCAGGCCCAGAUAGACCACUGUCAGGGAGGCGGAGCAGAGACACAAUAAACUCUUCCAGUCACUCCAAGCCGAGACAGAGGACGUUAAGAACAAGCUGGUGUCCAUGUCUGCUAAGUGCCACGAGCUGGAGAGUAGUAGAUCUGGCGCUGGGUUGCAGAGCUGCCCAUCAGAUGGACAGGUGCUCACCACCAGUACUGCAAUGAGCCACGACCACCUCAGAGAUGCCCUGGAAAAGGACCAGCAGAGAGAGGCGUACGUGAAGGUGGUGUUGGCUCGGAUGUUUCGGUUGGAACAGCAGCUAAACCAUGCCAAGCAGGCCCUCGCACAGCAGCAUAAAGACACCCAUUCAGAAGAGAGGUCAGUGCAGAUACAGAAGCACUACGAGAUAUUGUUACUGACGACCAAGAAGGAGCCGGAAGCUCCGAGAGAGCAGGUCAAUACAGCCCAGAGACAAUUGUCUGAGCUGCAGUGUAGGUAUGAGGAGAAGCAGAGAGUGGUGGGAGAGGUGUGGCAGCAGCUCCAGGCGGAGAGGCUGAGUAUCCGGCAGAGUGUCCAGAAGGAGAAGCGCCGCUCUGGGGACAGAGAGAGCCGUCUGUGGGGUGACAUGGAGGAGCUCCAGGCUAGACUAGAGGAAAAGGAGAUGAGGUCUGCUGAGCUCCUGGUACAGGUGAAUCUACUGCAGAAAUCCCUACUGAGCCUGCAUGAGGAACAGAAACGAGUCACAAUUCUGGAGAAGCAGAUCCAGGUGUCCGCCAAAGACCCGGAGGAUGAGAAGCGAGACUGUCAGUAUUUACAACAACAGCUCCACAAGGUGUUGGAGUUGCGCAAGGCAAAGGACCACGUCACCAAACACGAGUCAGAGAAGGGGCAGAGGGAGUUGUCCGGCCUGUACGAUGCCAGCGCUCACAGCAGACCCCCAGCACCCCUGAAGCCGUCCAAAGAGAGCUUCACCUCUCCCUCUCAGGUCGUCAACCAACUGGACGAGAGCUUCUUAGUGUCCCAGCUGUCGAGCCCAGUAGCCCACCGAGAGCUGCUGGCCCACCUCGAGCACUGUCUGUAAACACUGGGCUGUACAGGGGCUGGGAGCAUACAAGUAAGCCUAGAUCUAUCCUAUCUAUUUAGAUUCUAGUCAUUCAAUUGUUAUGGCUGGGAGUACCCACUCCAAUAAGUAGUCUGGAAUAGGCUAGAGAUGACAUUUUACUAUUCUAAAACGUGCUAAAUGUCACUUCCCUUUUCAAAAUGUUAUAGGUGGUGCAAAUGCAAGCUGCAAUGUCAUGGUUACUUUGGGCACUGCGUCUGUGUGUUGAGAAAAGUAAAACGUCAACCUGUAUGUCAAUGUACCUUGGUCCUGGAUUGCUCCUGGACCGGAUUGGCGAUCAAACUGGAAAUGGCGCUUACUGUAUACUGUAAGGAACAUUGCUUCAAGCAAACGAGUUGAUCAAUCUAUUUUUUUAUAAAGCCCUUCAUAACUGUUGGAACUAUUUACUUUUAUAUUUCUCUGAUGCUUUGUUUUUCCUCUUUGACUAAAGUGUAAAUCAGUUGACUGGUUUAAAACACUGUUGUGAAUUGUUGUUGUUCCGAAUGUCCGUGUAUUAUUGUCCUCCUAGCAGAAAUCUUCUAAAUACCCGUUCAUAAAAUGUUUUUAAAAAAGCUUUUUUUUUUAUAUUAAAUGUAUAGUUCUCGUUUCCAGCUAAGACGACAAUAUAAAAACAGUGUAGACUACAUUGUAUCAAAGGUUUAAAAAUGACUUGUUGCAUUUCUAUUCCAGACUAGUGCUAAAUGACAGGCAUCAUUCAUUUACAUUUUUUAUUUCAGCUUUAAAUAGGUUACAGUAUAAUAUUUGUUUUCAUUCAUUUACCACAUGUUACUGAGAAAAUAGAGCACUCCUAAUUGUCAAUGUACAAGCAUUUUCAAUAAGCAAAUAAAGACUUUUGAACAGGUCUCGCUUAUGCUGAAAUUGGUCCAAAAAAAAGUACAAGAAGUUCUAUAGAUUAAAUGUUGAUGUGUACAGAAAAAGAAAGACUUGCAUAUUUUUUAACAAUAAGAACAAUAAUCAUUUUCAAACACACCAA